CUAGCAUAUUUAUAGACACGUGCUUUAGGAAACGGGGGAUCACGGCUGUACUCAGCAAGGGCUUCCCCUGGGCUGGCAGGGAUUGGCUGCAGUGAAGACGAGAGCACAGUCCAAGAAAUGAAAAGGCCUUGAUGGGGUCCUUCCAGAUGGUCAGCCCCCUGCUCAACUACUGCAUCCGUCAGCUCCCCCCUAUAGGGCUUCUUGUACUGAUGUGCUGGGUGGACACCGGGCAUAAAUAAUUAAUCAAUAUCCAACAAUAACAUUAACUCUAGAGAGGUAUCAAAUAAAUACAGUGCAUUCGGAAAGUA